rnacentral:lncRNA from 1 species
UUAUAAAGGUAUCAAGGUAUAUAAACUAAUGUAUUUGGACAUCAAGAAGUUCAUCAAAAGUUGUAAUAUUGAAUUUUCAUAGCACAAAAGUAUUUAUGUGUACUUGGAGAUAUACCCAAAUAGGAAUAAAAAUAUAUUUGUAGAUACAUCUUCUAAAGAAGUAAAAGAAGAAGAUAAAGAAGAAGAAUAAAAAAUAAUGACAUCAAAUAAAGAACUUAGCACUUCUUAAGAGACGGCUUUAUCAAUUUGGAAGACCAAAAAAGACAAAUUAUAAGUGAAAGAAGAUGUGAUAUAUGAAGAUCAACUUUAAAUUAAAAGUAGAUAUCUUUAAAGAAAAAGAAAAAGAAAAA